rnacentral:lncRNA from 1 species
AGAAAAUAUGUGUUCCAUAGGAAUAUCUGAAACCUGGACAAGCAGGUGCCUUCUGAAGAGAGGGGGAGCCACAGAGGAAAGAUCACCUCAUGGGACUUGUUUCUUCCUAGUGAUGGUAGGCUUUACCUAUCAUCUUCAGUAUAUUAAAUAGUCUAACUGGACUUCAGUUAUCGGAAUGCCACAAUAACAUAGCUGAAGCAGCAGCAACAUGACACAAGAGGAAAACCUGAGAAAGAAAUGUUGUGAAACAAUCCUUCUGAGUUAUCUGCCUACAAUAAGAUGGGGAAUUUCAAGAGGCUCUGCGUGCACAACUUCAGAUAAAACUGAAAAUGCAGAAUGUUUUCAAAUGGUUCCUCCAUAUUCUAAAAAAAAAAAUCUCAGCAGGGCUGUGAAACAAACUCCCUUGAAUAAUUUUCUAGUGCUGCCAAGGAGAUGGAAAGAAGAAGAAAGGCUUGAUGCUACCACUGAUAUCACACUGGAUUCAGUCCCAGGAAACCAAAUGCUUUAAGAGUGGUGCCCCACAGAGCUUAAACUCUCACACUUUGGAAGUAAAAUGUUUGUUACUUUUUAGGAAGUUUGGAAAACAAGUAAAAUUGCUGCCAACACUGUACGGUCUCUUUUGUUUCAUUG